rnacentral:rRNA from 1 species
GAUGAACGCUGGCGGCGUGCCUAAUACAUGCAAGUCGAGCGAACAGAUGAGGAGCUUGCUCCUCUGACGUUAGCGGCGGACGGGUGAGUAACACGUGGAUAACCUACCUAUAAGACUGGGAUAACUUCGGGAAACCGGAGCUAAUACCGGAUAAUAUAUUGAACCGCAUGGUUCAAUAGUGAAAGACGGUUUUGCUGUCACUUAUAGAUGGAUCCGCGCCGCAUUAGCUAGUUGGUAAGGUAACGGCUUACCAAGGCAACGAUGCGUAGCCGACCUGAGAGGGGGAGCGGCCACAAUGGAAAUGGGACACGGUCCAGACUCCUACGGGAGGGAACAGGAGGGAAUUUUCCGAAAGGGGCGAAAGCCGGACGGAGAAACGCCGGGGGAGUGAAGAAGGUCUUCGGAUCGUAAAACUCUUUUAUUAGGGAAAAAAAAAUGUGUAAGUAAAUAUGCACGUUUUGACGGUACCUAAUAAAAAAGCCGCGGCUAACUACGU